GGGAAUCUCGCCAAAGAAAAUGGAUUGCAUGAUGACAGUCCGUUGACAGAGACUGCUCAUGAGCAGCUUGUACAAAUGGUUAUUGAGCUAAAGUUUCAGAAUGAGUUCUUGAAGUCUCAAUUUGAGGCUUUGAAAAAGCUUCAGUCAGCAGAUGAUGAAUCUCAACAAAGGACAAAAGCAAGUGGUAAAAAAACUGGGGAAUCUGCUGAUAUGGAGGAACUCCAUAAAAGAAUUGAAUCUUUGAGUAGAGAACUUUACGAAGAAAAACAAACACGAGUUGCAGCA
rnacentral:misc_RNA from 1 species